rnacentral:rRNA from 1 species
UAGGGAAUCUUCGGCAAUGGACGAAAGUCUGACCGAGCAACGCCGCGUGAGUGAAGAAGGUUUUCGGAUCGUAAAACUCUGUUGUUAGAGAAGAACAAGGACGUUAGUAACUGAACGUCCCCUGACGGUAUCUAACCAGAAAGCCACGGCUAACUACGUGCCAGCAGCCGCGGUAAUACGUAGGUGGCAAGCGUUGUCCGGAUUUAUUGGGCGUAAAGCGAGCGCAGGCGGUUUCUUAAGUCUGAUGUGAAAGCCCCCGGCUCAACCGGGGAGGGUCAUUGGAAACUGGGAGACUUGAGUGCAGAAGAGGAGAGUGGAAUUCCAUGUGUAGCGGUGAAAUGCGUAGAUAUAUGAUGGAACACCAGUGGCGAAGGCGGCUCUCUGGUCUGUAACUGACGCUGAGGCUCGAAAGCGUGGGGAGCAAACAGG